rnacentral:tRNA from 1 species
UGAGUAAUAGCUCAGCGGUAGAGCGCAUGCUUAGUAGGCAAGAGGUCCUGGAUUCUAUCCCCAGUACCUCCA